UACGUAGGGUGCAAGCGUUGUCCGGAAUUAUUGGGCGUAAAGAGCUUGUAGGCGGUUUGUCGCGUCUGCUGUGAAAUUUCGGGGGCUCAACCCCGAACUUGCAGUGGGUACGGGCAGACUAGAGUGUGGUAGGGGAGACUGGAAUUCCUGGUGUAGCGGUGAAAUGCGCAGAUAUCAGGAGGAACACCGGUGGCGAAGGCGGCCAACUGGACGAACACUGACGCUGAGACACGAAAGCGUGGGGAGCAAACAGG
rnacentral:rRNA from 1 species